UGGGGAAUAUUGGACAAUGGGCGCAAGCCUGAUCCAGCCAUGCCGCGUGGAGGAUAAAGGUCCUCUGGAUUGUAAACUUCUUUUAUCUGGGAAGAAACCCAUAUUUUCUAGUGUGGUUGACGGUACCAGAUGAAUAAGCACCGGCUAACUCCGUGCCAGCAGCCGCGGUAAGACGUAGGGUCCAAGCGUUGUCCGGAUUUACUGGGCGUAAAGAGCGCGUAGGCGGUCUGUUAAGUGUGAAGUGAAAUCUCCAGGGCUCAACCCGGAAACUGCUUCGCAUACUGGCAGACUUGAGGAAUGCAGAGGUUUGUGGAAUUCCUGGUGUAACGGUGAAAUGUGUUGAUAUCAGGAGGAACACCCAUGGCGAAGGCAGCAAACUGGGCAUUAUCUGACGCUGAGGCGCGAAAGCGUGGGUAGCAAA
rnacentral:rRNA from 1 species